rfam:Triticum aestivum genome assembly, contig: Triticum_aestivum_CS42_TGACv1_scaffold_221498_3B
UAAAUACUCCCUCUGUCCAAAAAUACUUGUCAUCAAAAUGGAUAAAAAGAGAUGUAUCUAAAACUAAAAUACGUCUAGAUACAUUUCCUUUUAUCCAUUUUGACGACAAGUAUUUCCGGACCGAGGGAGUAUUUG